rnacentral:rRNA from 1 species
GGGGGGAACCCUGACCGAGCAACGCCGCGUGAGUGAAGAAGGUUUUCGGAUCGUAAAGCUCUGUUGUAAGAGAAGAACGGGUGUGAGAGUGGAAAGUUCACACUGUGACGGUAUCUUACCAGAAAGGGACGGCUAACUACGUGCCAGCAGCCGCGGUAAUACGUAGGUCCCGAGCGUUGUCCGGAUUUAUUGGGCGUAAAGCGAGCGCAGGCGGUUAGAUAAGUCUGAAGUUAAAGGCUGUGGCUUAACCAUAGUAUGCUUUGGAAACUGUUUAACUUGAGUGCAGAAGGGGAGAGUGGAAUUCCAUGUGUAGCGGUGAAAUGCGUAGAUAUAUGGAGGAACACCGGUGGCGAAAGCGGCUCUCUGGUCUGUAACUGACGCUGAGGCUCGAAAGCGUGGGGAGCAAACAGGAUUAGAUACCCUGGUAGUCCACGCCGUAAACGAUGAGUGCUAGGUGUUAGGCCCUUUCCGGGGCUUAGUGCCGCAGCUAACGCAUUAAGCACUCCGCCUGGGGA